GACGAACGCUGGCGGCGUGCUUAACACAUGCAAGUCGAACGGAAAGGCCCUGCUUUUGUGGGGUGCUCGAGUGGCUAACUGGUGAGUAACACGUGAGUAACCUGCCCUUGACUUUGGGAUAACUUCAGGAAACUGGGGCUAAUACCGGAUAGGAGCUCCUGCUGCAUGGUGGGGGUUGGAAAGUUUCGGCGGUUGGGGAUGGACUCGCGGCUUAUCAGCUUGUUGGUGGGGUAGUGGCUUACCAAGGCUUUGACGGGUAGCCGGCCUGAGAGGGUGACCGGCAACAUUGGGACUGAGAUACGGCCCAGACUCCUACGGGAGGCAGCAGUGGGGAAUAUUGCACAAUGGGCGGAAGCCUGAUGCAGCCACGCCGCGUGCGGGAUGACGGCCUUAGGGUUGUACACCGCUUUCGCCUGUGACGAAGCGUGAGUGACGGUAAUGGGUAAAGAAGCACCGGCUAACUACGUG
rnacentral:rRNA from 1 species